rnacentral:rRNA from 1 species
GACGAACGCUGGCGGCGUGCUUAACACAUGCAAGUCGAACGGAAAGGCCCCCAUCUUGGUGCGGGUGCUCGAGUGGCGAACGGGUGAGUAACACGUGGGUGAUCUGCCCUGUACUUCGGGAUAAGCUUGGGAAACUGGGUCUAAUACCGGAUAGGACCAUGGUUUAGUGUCUCAUGGUGGAAAGAUUAUUGUUUUGGUGCAGGAUGAGCUCGCGGCCUAUCAGCUUGUUGGUGGGGUAAUGGCCUACCAAGGCGUCGACGGGUAGCCGGCCUGAGAGGGUGGACGGCCACAUUGGGACUGAGAUACGGCCCAGACUCCUACGGGAGGCAGCAGUGGGGAAUAUUGCACAAUGGGCGCAAGCCUGAUGCAGCGACGCCGCGUGGGGGAUGACGGCCUUCGGGUUGUAAACUCCUUUCGUUAGGGACGAAGCCACGCUUUUGGGGUGUGGUGACGGUACCUUUGUUAAGAAGCACCGGCUAACUACGUG